rnacentral:rRNA from 1 species
GACGUAGGAUGCAAGCGUUGUCCGGAUUUAUUGGGCGUAAAGAGUUCGUAGGCGGUCUGUUAAGUCUGAUGUUAAAGAUCGGGGCCCAACCCCGGGAGUGCAUUGGAUACUGGCAGACUGGAGUGUGGUAGAGGUAAGUGGAAUUCCUGGUGUAGCGGUGAAAUGCGUAGAUAUCAGGAAGAACACCGGUGGCGUAGGCGACUUACUGGGCCAUAACUGACGCUGAGGAACGAAAGCCAGGGGAGCAAAUGGG